rnacentral:lncRNA from 1 species
GAUACACACUGUCCCUUUAGAGGAACUCUCGCCUUCUCCUUUUUUCAGUUGACAGUAAAGUUCUUUGUUACAGAGUGAAUUUCCGGACUAUACUGAAGAGAGACCAGCAA